UCCUAUACGCUAAAUAUAACAUGCAAUGUAUAGUUGGAAAUCCAAAUAGGGGUGUCUUCAAAGUAUUGAAAAUAGGCCCGGAAAACAGUCAGAUUAAAUUCUCUAUUUUUCCAUAUGCUACAGACACAUAUAUUUUAUAUAUAUAUAUAUAUAUAUAUAUAGAGAGAGAGAGAGAGACCUCUCCAUGCAAACCCAACACCAAAACCUGCGACCUUUCAUGUGGACCUUCAAUUCAAUUACGAUUCUACAUCUUCUAAUU